UUAACUAUUAUAUAGUACUCAGACGACACUGACAAUCAGAAUUUGUCGGGCCUCUGGCGGGCGCGCGCCGGCCGGAGCCGGCGGCCGGGCUAGGCCCAGCAGCCCGCCAAAGCAACACGGUAGCAAUAACAGUGGGUGGGAGAUCUACCCGCGAGGGCGAGAACUCUGUAAUGAUCCCUCCGCAGGUUCACCUACGGAGA
rnacentral:misc_RNA from 1 species